AUUGAACGCUGGCGGCAGGCCUAACACAUGCAAGUCGAGCGGAUGAAGGGAGCUUGCUCCUGGAUCCAGCGGCGGACGGGUGAGUAAUGCCUAGGAAUCUGCCUGGUAGUGGGUGAUAACGUCCGGAAACGGGCGCUAAUACCGCAUACGUCCUGAGGGAGAAAGUGGGGGAUCUUCGGACCUCACGCUAUCAGAUGAGCCUAGGUCGGAUUAGCGAGUUGGUGGGGUAAAGGCCUACCAAGGCGACGAUCCGUAACUGGUCUGAGAGGAUGAUCAGUCACACUGGAACUGAGACACGGUCAAGACUCCUACGGGAGGCAGCAGUGGGGAAUAUUGGACAAUGGGCGAAAGCCUGAUACAGCCAUGCCGAGUGUGUGAAGAAGGUCUUCGGAUUGUAAAGCACUUUAAGUUGGGAGGAAGGGCAGUAAGUUAAUACCUUGCUGUUUUGACGUUACCAACAGAAUAAGCACCGGCUAACUUCGUG
rnacentral:rRNA from 1 species